UGACUCACGUUUAUUUUUCCCUCUGCCUGUCAUUUUUGCCUCAGUCAUAUGUCCAACUCAAGAAGGAACCACAUGUCACAGAAAAAAAGUAGGGGGGAGGAAGUAUUUUGAGCUGGGAAUAGAGAAUCCUACCUGAAGAGAAAAGAAGACUGGCUUCUAAUUAAAAUGCAGACAGGAGUCUGAUCUCUCUCCACAUCCACUGGAAAUUAUUCCUUUAAGCCAGGAGUUUGUAAGAAGCCAGCAGGCAAUGCAGUCAUGUGGUAAUAUCCUUCCCACUGCCAAGAUGGAUUAAUGCUGGGAGAGCUUACAACUGGAUCCAACCUGAUGCAGCACCGAGUGUACUGGUGAGGUUCAUAAAACAACUCUCGGGAGACCUUUGUUUUGUAAGAGAAAGGGAAAAAGGAAAGAAAAUAGAAAGACGCCGACAAGCCUUGACGUGUUUAAGACACAUCAGGAGGGCAGUUUGUGUUUGUGGGUAUUUUGAGGGGGUACCAGUUCCGCGCACCUGGACCAGAACACCAGCUCUAGUGCCACUCAACCUGCAGGUGCCAGGUGCUUUCUAACGCACCGCCCACUGGUGAGGUUCGCUGUUUAACGUGUGCCUAACACAGCCCACGACGGGUGCAGGCUGGAGGAGCUGGGGCACGGCGCUGCGGGGCGCCAGACAGGGCUCCUUCGAGAUUGGCCACACCGCCAAGUUAGCGUGAGCGUCGGCUGUGAAGAGGCAACGCGGUGACUCAGGCAAGAUGGAGGCAGCCGCGCUCCGCUCCGCACGUCCGCUCCUGGCACUCUUCCAGCCUUUCCUUCCGAGCAGAGCCCGGGAGCUUCCCCCUUGAAACGCUUCAAGUCGUCCCCCUGCUUGCCUGGCCUCACCCAGGCCCCCUUUUCAGAACUUGUCACAAAGUCAUUCGUACGAGGAAUGUGUGACACUGCCCGGUGCCUCUACUGCCAUCCCGUCCCCCGGAGUCCUUUGAUCACGCCUCUGUCAAGAGCACAGACAACCGUUGAUACACAUUUUCUCUCAGAGGAUGUGAGAACUUUCUCCAAGGAAAAGUGAGAUCUCGGCCAGUGGCUUCCCACCACGGUGACAAGUCAACUUUCAGGGCCGUGCUAGUCGGUUCGCGACCACGAAUCAAGCAGGGUACGCAAACUCGCGACCCAGACAGAACCGGCCCAGGCGGGCGCGAGGCUGACGACGCCGGCAACGCCGAGCAGGUGGCGCGCCCGCGGGCGGAGGGGCCGGCCUGCAGGCUGCGCAUGCGCCACCUGCGCAGCCAGGGACGCGGAGCGUCUCCGGCCGCGGCGCGGCGCGGCGUGGCGGCUUGGAUUGCGUCCCGGUUUGCGCGCCGGAGCCCGCGGUCGCUCUCGGGGCACCAUCUUGUGUCACCUCGACCCGAGUUCUUUCUAGGGAUUAGUCCUGAGUUCGUGAUUAAUCAGCACUUUCUGCGUUUCUCGGGAUGACGUCAUCUGCUCAGAGAUAAAUCAGGCUCCUCUCUGAAGCUCCUGCCUGAGCAGGAUCCUGUGUCCCGGAGGCUGUCCCAGGAACCCCUCCCGGCCCAGGCAGCCACCGCCAAAUCCUCCCUGUGGCCCCUGGAGCGCUGGGUGCCCGGCCAUAGCGCCCCUGUCAUUGCUUUUACUCACUAAAUGCAAAAGCUCAAGGUUUUCUUUUUUCAUAAAUUACAAAAGGUGGAAAAUUACAAAGAGGGAAGGAAUCACCCAAAGCCUCAUCUUCAGGGCUCAGCCUGUUAAUUCUGAAGCAUUUGUGUCCAGUGUUUUUGUUUGUUUUUCCUGCCUUUUUCUUCCCCCGACAGAUUUUUAGGUUUUAAGCAUUGCUCAGCUGCAGCCAUGUUGUAAAUAUAUUAUUUUGUAUCCUACCUUUUUUUUUUUUAAACUUAAUGUU